GAAAGGGUACUGUACUGGUCAUUACUUCCCCCAGGACAGGCAGCACCACUUAAACUCACCCCACUUAUGUAACAGCUGCACUUUGGGGUGUGACACAGCCAAAAAAAAAAAACAAAAAACCCACACUUUCUUCCUUUAUCAGCGAUAAGUCUCAAAGAGCAAAACAUAUGCUUCCAGCCUAAAAGGCGUCAUUUUAGAUUGAAGAAAAUAAAAAGACAGAACACAAGUCUCCAUGAGAGCUGUGUAUGUGUCUUCUGUAACAGCACACACAGCAACUGUGAGAACAAAAUGGCUGCUGUCUCUGCAUGCAGGAGACCUACACUUUUGAAGUGGGAUCAAGUUUCCAGGGAGAAGGCGCGAUGAAAGUGGAGAAAAACAACUUGAUUGUGGACAGAUGAACUGGGAGUGAGAAGAGUUUGUUCUGCAUAUGUAGUUACACCUGGUGACACCCACUAGGCAAGAUGCUUCCAGUCUAGACAGCUGGUUGUGAAUGGCUUAUUCAAGGUAAUGGACCAUUAGGGGAAACAAUAGGCCUUAGGAGAAGCUUAUCUCCACCUGGUGAGCCUUCCUGGGAACGCUCCAGAGAGCCUAUGCAUAAUGGCUGCUAUGACUCAGCAAGGGCAUGUGACCAGACCAAAUGACACUGAACUCCAUUUUGGUACCUGUAUUUUUCCCCACAAACUGGACUGGAAACUGAGUUUCAAACAAAGGAUACCCGCCAUAUGGAAAAGCUGUAUCAGGUGGGGAGUGACAUCAUCUCUGGGCCUCACUCCCCAUAUAAGAAAACUCCUGGAAACACCUGAGGAACAAAGAUGAAACUGAGGGAAAUCCUGGCCCCAGGCUAAAGGGAUUUCUAGCCUGUGUAUGGAAAUUUGGUGGACUGCUUGUAUCAUCAGUCAGGGUGAGAAAUUGUUAAUUCAAAUCCUAUCCCUCUAUUAUGUUAGACUUAAUUUGUGUUUUUGUUUAUUUGCUAGGUAAUCUGCUUUGAACUGUUUGCUAUAACUUGUAAUCACUUAAAAUCUAUCCUUUUAUAGUUAAUAAACUUGUUUUAUAUUUUA